rnacentral:rRNA from 1 species
CGGACGGGUGAGUAAUGUCUGGGAAACUGCCUGAUGGAGGGGGAUAACUACUGGAAACGGUAGCUAAUACCGCAUAACGUCGCAAGACCAAAGAGGGGGACCUUAGGGCCUCUUGCCAUCGGAUGUGCCCAGAUGGGAUUAGCUAGUAGGUGGGGUAACGGCUCACCUAGGCGACGAUCCCUAGCUGGUCUGAGAGGAUGACCAGCCACACUGGAACUAAGACACGGUCCAG